rnacentral:ncRNA from 1 species
UAGUCUCAACAUGGGAAACCUCACUCAGCCUGGACACGGACAGGAUAGAUAGAUUGACAGCUCUUUCUCAAUUCUGUGGGUGGUGGUGCAUGGCCGUUCUUAGUUGGUGGAGCAAUUUGUCUGGUUAAUUUCGAUAACAAAUGAGACUUUGAAAUGCUAACUAGUAGAGACCAGGUUUCACCAUGUUGGCCAGGCUAGUCUCAAACUUCUGAUCUCAAGUGAUCCUCCAGUCUCAGCCUCCCAACGUGCUGGGAUUACAGGCAUGAGCCUUCGUGCCUGGCC